UUUUUAUUUUCAUUUUUCUUCUUUCUAUUUCGUUCCAUCCAAACAAUAAUUAAUGGAUUAUUUAACCACUGUGCCAACAAGAAGUACGCCUAGAUCUAUUGCCCCUUAACAAAAAGGAAAUAAUCUCCAACAGAGUUUUAGAUACUGACAUGGCUAGUAAUUAAUGGAUCAUUUGACCACCACUGGAGAACCACUGCGCAAACUACAAGAAUGCUUAUAGAUCUACUGCCCUGGAAAGAGAACUAAAGACCACCGAAGUACAAAUGCAAAAUCUGGCGAUUGAAG
rnacentral:misc_RNA from 1 species